ACCCACGACGCCGAAUGGAUCGGCAGCGGAUUUCUACUCCGUGGAUUUGCGGGUUCGACUCCUGCCGUGGGUGCCA
rnacentral:tRNA from 1 species